rnacentral:tRNA from 1 species
GCCUGGAUGGCUCAGUCGGUUAAGCGUCCGACUUCAGCUCAGGUCACGAUCUCGAGGUCCGUGGGUUCGAGCCCCGCGUCAGGCU